UAGCAUAUCAAUAAGCGGAGGAAAAGAAACUAACCAGGAUUCCCCUAGUAACGGCGAGUGAAGCGGGAAGAGCUCAAAUUUAAAAUCUGGCAGUGUAUUCUGUCCGAGUUGUAGUCUAGAGAAGCAUCAUCCGUGCUGGACCAUGUACAAGUCUCUUGGAACAGAGCGUCAUAGAGGGUGAGAAUCCCGUCCUUGACAUGGACUCCCAGUACUUUGUGUUGUGCUCUCAACGAGUCGAGUUGUUUGGGAAUGCAGCUCAAAAUGGGUGGUAAAUUCCAUCUAAAGCUAAAUAUUGGCGAGAGACCGAUAGCGAACAAGUACCGUGAGGGAAAGAUGAAAAGCACUUUGGAGAGAGAGUUAAACAGUACGUGAAAUUGUUGAAAUGGAAACGCUUGAAGUCAGUCGCGUUCUCUGGGAUUCAGCCUUGCUUUUGCUUGGUGCAUUUCCUAGUCUACGGGCCAGCAUGAGUUUUGACCAAUGGAAAAAGGCUUGGGGAAUGUGGCACCUUCGGGUGUGUUAUAGCCCCUUGUCACAUACAUUGGUUGGGAUUGAGGUCUUAGUGCACGCUUUGGUUGUGCUUUGAUGCUGGCGUAAUGGCUUUAAACGACCCGUCUUGAAACACGGACCAAGGAGUCUAACAUGUCUGCGAGUGUUUGGGUGCAAAACCCGAGCGCGUAAUGAAAGUGAUAGUUGGGAACCUCUUCAGAGGGGCACCGACGCCCGGACCAGACCUUCUGUGACGGAUCCGAGGUAGAGCAUAUAUGUUGGGACCCGAAAGAUGGUGAACUAUGCCUGCAUAGGGUGAAGCCAGAGGAAACUCUGGUGGAGGCUCGUAGCGAUUCUGACGUGCAAAUCGAUCGUCAAAUGUGGGUAUAGGGGCGAAAGACUAAUCGAACCAUCUAGUAGCUGGUUCCUGCCGA
rnacentral:rRNA from 1 species